rnacentral:tRNA from 1 species
GGAAGGAUGGCUGAGCGGUCAAAAGCAACAGAUUGUAAAUCUGUCGAUCUUCGAUCUACGUAGGUUCAAAUCCUGCUCCUUCCA